UNGCUUCUACAACUUGAAGAGUGUUGUCGG
rnacentral:piRNA from 1 species